rnacentral:rRNA from 1 species
GGUUAAGCGACUAAGCGUACACGGUGGAUGCCCUGGCAGUCAGAGGCGAUGAAGGACGUGCUAAUCUGCGAUAAGCGUCGGUAAGGUGAUAUGAACCGUUAUAACCGGCGAUUUCCGAAUGGGGAAACCCAGUGUGUUUCGACACACUAUCAUUAACUGAAUCCAUAGGUUAAUGAGGCGAACCGGGGGAACUGAAACAUCUAAGUACCCCGAGGAAAAGAAAUCAACCGAGAUUCCCCCAGUAGCGGCGAGCGAACGGGGAGCAGCCCAGAGCCUGAAUCAGUGUGUGUGUUAGUGGAAGCGUCUGGAAAGGCGCGCGAUACAGGGUGACAGCCCCGUACACAAAAAUGCACAUGCUGUGAGCUCGAUGAGUAGGGCGGGACACGUGGUAUCCUGUCUGAAUAUGGGGGGACCAUCCUCCAAGGCUAAAUACUCCUGACUGACCGAUAGUGAACCAGUACCGUGAGGGAAAGGCGAAAAGAACCCCGGCGAGGGGAGUGAAAAAGAACCUGAAACCGUGUACGUACAAGCAGUGGGAGCACGCUUAGGCGUGUGACUGCGUACCUUUUGUAUAAUGGGUCAGCGACUUAUAUUCUGUAGCAAGGUUAACCGAAUAGGGGAGCCGAAGGGAAACCGAGUCUUAACUGGGCGUUAAGUUGCAGGGUAUAGACCCGAAACCCGGUGAUCUAGCCAUGGGCAGGUUGAAGGUUGGGUAACACUAACUGGAGGACCGAACCGACUAAUGUUGAAAAAUUAGCGGAUGACUUGUGGCUGGGGGUGAAAGGCCAAUCAAACCGGGAGAUAGCUGGUUCUCCCCGAAAGCUAUUUAGGUAGCGCCUCGUGAAUUCAUCUCCGGGGGUAGAGCACUGUUUCGGCAAGGGGGUCAUCCCGACUUACCAACCCGAUGCAAACUGCGAAUACCGGAGAAUGUUAUCACGGGAGACACACGGCGGGUGCUAACGUCCGUCGUGAAGAGGGAAACAACCCAGACCGCCAGCUAAGGUCCCAAAGUCAUGGUUAAGUGGGAAACGAUGUGGGAAGGCCCAGACAGCCAGGAUGUUGGCUUAGAAGCAGCCAUCAUUUAAAGAAAGCGUAAUAGCUCACUGGUCGAGUCGGCCUGCGCGGAAGAUGUAACGGGGCUAAAC